rnacentral:rRNA from 1 species
CAAUAGCGUAUAUUUAAGUUGUUGCAGUUAAAAAGCUCGUAGUUGGAUUUCGGGUGGGACGCAGCGGUCUCGCAUUGCGUUUGUACUGCUGCAGCCCUCCUUCUUGCCGGGGGCGGCCUCUCGGACUUCACUGUCUGGGGGUCAGAAUCGGCGAUGUCACUUUGAGUAAAUUAGAGUGUUCAAAGCAAGCUUACGCUCUGAAUAUAAUAGCAUGGGAUAACACGACAGGACUCUGGCCUAUCGUGUUGGUCUAUAGGACCAGAGUAAUGAUUAAGAGGGACAGUCGGGGGCAUUCGUAUUCCGUUGUCAGAGGUGAAAUUCUUGGAUUUACGGAAGACGAACAUCUGCGAAAGCAUUUGCCAAGGAUGUUUUCAUUGA